GUGCUGGAGAAUCCUUGUUUGAGGAAGAAGGUGGACAUUUCGAAGGACCCCACAGAACAGAUUCAAUAGAAAGGGAGGAACUUGGAGAAUGGGAUAGAGUCUUUAUAAGAAACAGGAUGUGAGGAUGUACAGAAAAAGUAAUUGCGGCAGUUGUUUGUUUUUUAGUAUAUAUUGGUGAAGGGAAGAGGAGGAAGGUUCUGGAGGACUGUAGGUAUCUUCAAGUUGUUAUAAUGUCGAAGCUACGGAUGCUCAGCUGCCAUCUUUCACCGCUGGGCUGAUUCACUUUUACCACCACCUGCGCUGUAUCCACCAUCAUUGGAAUUUCUUGCCACUGCCCACCUCAUCAAUGUUACUGUGAUGCCCUUCCACCAUGACUUCAACAGUGCUGGACCCAACUAACAAUGAAUGCUGCGCAGGACAAUUCUUCCCCUCCCACUAAGACUCAUCUCCGGCCCAGAAGAGAUGUCCUGAACUUUGGAACCAGGUCCUGAACCAGCAGAUGGUUAAGAAAAAAGUUGUUGCAAUUUUAAAAGCAAAAUAUGAGCUCUUGCAGUGCAGUGGCAAUGUCCCUAUCUCUGAUCCAGAAGACCUAUGUU